rnacentral:lncRNA from 1 species
AUAAUUGAAUGAUAGAAUCUCAUGUAUGCCAAGUAUCAACAAAACCACUCUCCAUAUCAUGUUAUCUAUGGGUCACCUUCAUUUUAACAUGUAUAGGAUAGAAUGUAAGUAUUAUCAUUUUAAAUAUGGAGUAAAGCACCAAAUCCAUAAUCUAAGCCCAAACCAUGUAUAUCAUAUUAAAAAGGAACUUCUAAAAUAGAGCUAGUCAACCCGAAACUUAAUUCUUAAGUUUGAACACAUAUAACCAAAGACUUCUAGAAAUUACUUCUGACCUUAUUCAUAACCCAAACUUCAUUUGAUCCGCACAUAUUAGCACUAGGAGACAUAAAGUACCAUAAAUACCGCACCAAGAUCACAUUCCUUUAAAACAAACCCGUCAGCUAUGAAACCACUAAGGAUUCCAUAGAAUUCCAUAGACUUCAGUACAGUAGGGAAAAAACAUAUCAUAGAAUAAAUCACCAAGUAUUAUGCUAUAUGUAAAAUAUACUUUCAGCCCCAUAUUUUCAAAAUUUCUCAUCUAUUGAUCAAUCCAUUCAUCU